AAAUAGAAGGCUAAACUAUUUAGAAGGAAACAAUUAUGUAUUUGGACUUCAAAACUUACCUCUUUACACUUAGAGCAGAAUAUUUAUAUAGAGCUUAGAAGUAACUGCUCUAUAACAAACUUGCUAACAGUCUUAGCUAAACGCUAACAACUUGGAUAACAACUUCAACUAAUGCUCAUAUCCUUAACACUACCUUUCGAAGUUCAGAGAUUCUGCGUCAUCUAGGAUUGGAUCGUGUUAAGAAAUAUAGGCGGGCGGAGCAGUUAGAUAUGGAGAGAGAAGCCGGAAGAGUAUUCAACCGUUUCAAAGAGAAACAGAUACUAUGGCGCGGUUCCGGCAUUGAGCAAUUAUCCUAUAAUCGUGGAGAAUAAAGAUUUUUUUAUCACAGACUUGUUUCUGCUCUCUUUUCUGUUUGAGGUAGGAGUAAAAAAGAAAUACGAUGAGAAAUUCAGGAAAGGUUAUUCCUGCGAUGUAAGAAGAUUCGAGUACGACAAAUGCAUAUCUCGAAGGCAUAGUUUCUAUGAUUACCAACUGAAAUGUUUAAUUUGCUUAUUUUGAUUUAGAUCAUUUAGUUCUUCACUUGUAUUUGUUUUCCUCUAAAAUACAUACAUUAUACAUAUAUAUCUAUUGAUGUAUGGUAGCUUCCUAAUACAACACAGGGGAGAAGUAAUAUUGGCGAAAAAAACAUGAUUAUGAAUAAAACCUGAAAAGCUUUUUUACAUAAA